rnacentral:rRNA from 1 species
UAGUUUGAUCCUGGCUCAGGAUGAACGCUAGCGGCAGGCCUAAUACAUGCAAGUCGGACGGGAUUCGGUCUUUCGGGAUUGAUGAGAGUGGCGCACGGGUGCGUAACGCGUAUGCAACCUGGCCCAUACAGGGGGAUAGCCCGGGGAAACCCGGAUUAAUACCCCAUUGCAAGAUGCUGCCGCAUGGCAGUGUAUUUAAAGCCUUCGGGCGGUAUGGGAUGGGCAUGCGUAGGAUUAGUUAGUUGGCGGGGUAACGGCCCACCAAGACUGUGAUCCUUAGGGGUUCUGAGAGGAAGGUCCCCCACACUGGCACUGAGAUACGGGCCAGACUCCUACGGGAGGCAGCAGUAGGGAAUAUUGGGCAAUGGGCGGAAGCCUGACCCAGCCAUGCCGCGUGCAGGAAGACGGCGUUAUGCGUUGUAAACUGCUUUUAUCCGGAAAGAAAAAGGCACUGCGGUGCCAACUGACGGUACCGGAUGAAUAAGCACCGGCUAACUCCGUGCCAGCAGCCGCGGUAAUACGGAGGGUGCAAGCGUUGUCCGGAUUUAUUGGGUUUAAAGGGUGCGUAGGCGGCUUUGUAAGUCAGCGGUGAAAGUUUCCGGCUCAACCGGGGGACUGCCGUUGAUACUGCCGGGCUUGAGUGCUGAUGGGGUACAUGGAAUUUAUGGUGUAGCGGUGAAAUGCAUAGAUACCAUAAGGAACACCGAUGGCGAAGGCAUUGUACUUAUCAGCAACUGACGCUGAGGCACG